GGGUCAGUAGGUUGGUCGUGCCCCUGGUACGUACUGGUCUCACUGAUUCCUCCUUCCUGAAGAACCGUAAUGCCAUUAAUUUGGUGUUGCGGGGAAACAGGACUGUUACUUUGAAAAAAUUAGAGUGUUUAAAGCAAGCUAACGCUUGAAUACAUUAGCAUGGAAUAAUGAAAUAGGACGAUCGAUCCUAUUUUGUUGGUUUCUAGGAUUGACGUA
rnacentral:rRNA from 1 species